GUCGAGAAUCUUUCACAAUGGGGGCAACCCUGAUGGAGCGACGCCGCGUGGAGGAUAAGGUCUUCGGAUUGUAAACUCCUGUCAUGCGUGAACAAGGUUGCUUGGUUAAUACCUGGGCAAAUUGAUGGUAACGCAAGAGGAAGAGACGGCUAACUCUGUGCCAGCAGCCGCGGUAAUACAGAGGUCUCAAGCGUUGUUCGGAAUCACUGGGCGUAAAGGGUGCGUAGGUGGCGUGGUAAGUCAGAUGCGAAAGCCCGGGGCUCAACCUCGGAACUGCAUCCGAUACUACCAUGGUAGAAUACUGGAGAGGUGACUAGAAUUCUCGGUGUAGCAGUGAAAUGCGUAGAUAUCGAGAGGAAUACCAAAGGCGUAGGCAGGUCACUGGACAGUUACUGACACUGAGGCACGAAGGCCAGGGGAGCGAACGGGAUUAGAAACCCCUGUAGUCC
rnacentral:rRNA from 1 species